CCUACGGGAGGCAGCAGUGGGGAAUAUUGGGCAAUGGGCGCAAGCCUGACCCAGCAACGCCGCGUGAAGGAAGAAGGCUUUCGGGUUGUAAACUUCUUUUCUCAGGGACGAAGCAAGUGACGGUACCUGAGGAAUAAGCCACGGCUAACUACGUGCCAGCAGCCGCGGUAAUACGUAGGUGGCAAGCGUUAUCCGGAUUUACUGGGUGUAAAGGGCGUGUAGGCGGGAAAGCAAGUCAGAUGUGAAAACCAUGGGCUCAACCUGUGGCCUGCAUUUGAAACUGUUUUUCUUGAGUACUGGAGAGGUAAGUGGAAUUCCUAGUGUAGCGGUGAAAUGCGUAGAUAUUAGGAGGAACACCAGUGGCGAAGGCGGCUUACUGGACUGUAACUGACGUUGAGGCUCGAAAGCGUGGGGAGCAAACAGGAUUAGAUACCCCAGUAGUC
rnacentral:rRNA from 1 species